AAAAGGAAGCUGCCCAGUGCUCACGAGGUAUCUUCAUCACUUGGAAAGAGACUGUAUGAGCAUUUGGUUUUUAAGUGGAUAAAAAUCCUCCACUGUCAAAUAAAUCAUAGUAAACAAAUAUGAGUAUUGAACGGUUUCUAUGAGAGAAAUAUUACAUUCUAGCAAAUUAUUAGAAAACAUCAGAUGAAUUUGAACUGGAUACUUUGGCACAGACCAGAGAAUAAGAAGACAGAAGGCAAAUUUUGUAUUAUCUGUUCCAACCCCAUUCGUGCAACUACUUCAGUGGAUAAGUUGGGUGACUCUUGCCCUGUUGGCGCCUGAAUUUUUGCACAUAUUUCAGGUA